GCCAACUUCAUGUUUGUUUACAAUGAAAAAAGUCUGGAUGCAAACAUCAAUUCUGAUGUACUUUCCUGUAUUGGAUUGAAAAUAUGUUUUAUUUUUAAUCACCUGAGAACUGCUCACAAUGAUUGAUGCAAUAAACUUGGAGCUACGAAGGCAUUCAGAUCUAUGGGACCAUAGUGAAGGAGUUUGAACCAAUAAAUCUGGGAUAUGACAGAGCAUGCAAAACCCUGGAAACUCCUAUAAUGAAUUCUCAUAGUAAUUGUCUCUUCACUCUGAAAGCUAAGAAGCGAGGUCCUUACCAGCAGGAGCCAGGGAUAUAGAUGGGUGCAGUACCUGCCUUGCUGAGAAGGUGAAAACAAAUACAGGAAGAGCAGGAUUUGACAGGAAGCCCAGGAACAGCAGCAAGACAAGGCUGAGGAGCAUCCAGCUCAGUGAGAGGUUGCAACUGCUUGGCUCCUGAGGAUGCAUUGGGACCCCAGGAGGGUCGGAGUCUUUCUUGAAGUGAGUGAAGCACAGCGUUGACCUAUGUCUUGGGACACUAACAGAAUUGUGACCGCUGGUGAAUCAGGACCUGAGGCCUGCAGGAGUGGAAGGACCAUCUCCUUCUCGUGGCUGUGAAGAUGUGAGCUGUUUGGAACCUCUAGGCACCAGAGGAUGAGGGGUAACCUGCAUGGGAUUUCCAAUUCAUCCAACCACAAUGCAUCAGGACAGUGACUGAUACCAUCAGUAUAAGAUCAUAUUGGUUAUCUUCAUUUUUUCACAAAGAGGUCAGUGCUACUGCAGCCCAGGCAAUAGAAUUUGGUGGAGCAGACAAUAGGGUGCUGAAGGUGUGCUAGGACUGGUCUGGAUGGGUGGGGGCCUGCAACAUACUCCACACAGAAUGUGCCACAUCACCCUAGCGUGCUGUACUCUGCACAAGUGCACAGUUGGGUCAGGCGGUGAGGCAAUGUGCUAGUUGCUGAAGAACUGGGUGAACAGAAAAAAUCAUCUUCUGAGAAAGAAGACGAGGACAUUGAGAAGGAGAAAGGUCUCCUUGUGUAUGACAGAGCUUAGCUGCAUCAAGCAGACAGAACUUGAUGGACACCCAGUUCCAGUAGGUUUCAGUAGAUGCUGUCCAUUGGACAAUGAUAAGAUGUUGGGCACAGGGGACAGAGUAGCAGUGUCUUUGAAAAGGUAGCAGAGUGGGAUGUCCUAAAGUGCAUGUAAGCUGUAUGGUCUAGUGGUUAGACAGUACCUUGUGUCAUGAGCUGCUGUGCCUUUACAUUGUCAGUGAACUCCACAAUGCCAAUUCUGAACUGGUAUUAAACAUACUACUGAUGUCAGAGAUUCUCGUGUAUUCUGGGAUAUCUGUUGAGUGGUGAGUUCUUCAAGCUACACUGGUAGAAUGGCACAGGCAUCAGUUAAGAGAGUCAGCAUAAGGCAAGAUAAGGAAUUAAUGAGGCAAGUUUGGCUGAUAGUGUGAGAAAUCUUGAUAGGCCUCAGAACAGAAACUCUCUGUGAAACUCUACAAAAUUAACAUUGCACCAAAAUAUUGAAUGUUUCAGCCCAUGUCUUUCAGACUUCCCUUUGCUUCAAUUCUUGGAUCAUGGAUUCACAAAGCUCAUGCUAAGUUUUGUGGGUGGGGCAUCAUAUUAGGGAAAUCUUAAAGAUCUUCCAUUUGCUUUCUUCUGCCUUCCACAUUCUGAUGGCCAAUAAUUGCUCCCUGUGUCCUCUAGUAACUCACUCCAUUUGAUGAGUCACCAAAGCUAUUUCCCAGAGUGUGACUUAGCUGUUCAGCAUUUGAGUUUUGACAAAAGAAUCCUUCUGAAAUUUCAUACAAAGGAAGGCAGGGUUUUUUUGUCAAGAUGGAACUGUAAGCAUUAUAAUAAGUUAUAUUAAUGUUAAGGGUUUGGCCAUAUGACUGAAUCAAGAAAGUCUCAAAUGUGUUAGUCUGCAUAAUAUCCAGUGUCAAUAUGAUUCAGAUUGCAGCUUUAUUGUCAUUUAUACUGAAUUAAAUCAGUUUGAGUCAUGAUGUAGGUACUGUAGAUAUUAACCUAAAAUUUGCUGGGUUAGCUAAGAUGAUGUUAAAUUAAACUGAAAGAUGAAUAAGAAAACAUAUGAAGCCUGGUAAUAGCCGAAUGAUCAUAAAGGUCAUGGGUUUUAAUGUGUGUCUGUGUUUUGCCGAAGGAGCAUGUGUGUUUAUAUUAGGUGUUAUAACUUAGCAGUAAUGAACUGAACUGUCACAGGAACUCUGAAAAAGUUGAAGUUUUGCUUAGAACCGUGAAAUAAAUAUGAUCAUAUGGAUUAUUUAUCAGCUAAUAAUUUGUGAUUAUCAUAAAAUUAUCUAUGUAAACAUCAUACGGUUGAUUUCAAUAAUAUAAAGGUGGCA